AUUGAGAUUUUUCUUAGAAAAGGAACUUCACCAUUACAGAAAAAAAGAAAAAGAAAAAAGUGUGUGUAUGUUCUGAAACAGGAACCUUCUCAAUAACAUUUUUCAGAGGAAGUGGAAAAUGUAAAAUAAUUUUGCAAGAUAAUUUGUCAGCUGUAAGACACCUCAUGUACUAUCACUUCAUUAGGAUUGAUCUCUGCUGUCUGCUAAAGCAAAUGGACACACUUCCAGUGACAUAAAAGAGACCUAAACCAUGUCCCAGUCAUACAUUUGUAUCUGCUGCAUGGAUGACUACAUGUUGUCCCAAGUGUAUUUCAAUUCAAACAUUUGUAAAAACAUUUUUUUGGCUUCUCACAAAGAUGCAACCAGUGAAUAUCUACUUUAAGCACCACAACAUUUAGGAACACUUUGUUAAAUGUUCUGUUGAUCUGUUGCCAUUAUUUAAAUUCUUUUUAGCAGCUCUGUCCACAAUCACUGACUGUAAACAUAGCUGUACAGAAAGAUUAAUCUUUGAUUAAACUGCAUCAUUAACCUGGAGCACUCUACAGCCUCUAAAAUUAUUGGAGAUCAAAAAAGAAACAGAAUAUAGCACAAAGUCCCAGAAGACUCCAACAUAUGCCUUAUUUAUCUAUGCCUUAGACAAAUUCUACAGCUACAAAAACAAUUACAAAAUGAAAACUUUCCUUCUAUAACUGAAAUACAUUGAUGCUAAUAAUAACAAAGUGUUUGGGGUUCAUGUGCAGAGAAAUGAGCAGAAUGAGUAAAACCAUCAAUAUUAAAAUGGAUAUGUGUAUGCUAUUUG